AGCCUGUGAAGGUGUACUGUGAGGUAUGCUGGAGGUAUCAGAAGUGCGAAUGCUGACAUAAGUAACGAUAAAGCGGGUGAAAAGCCCGCUCGCCGGAAGACCAAGGGUUCCUGUCCAACGUUAAUCGGGGCAGGGUGAGUCGACCCCUAAGGCGAGGCCGAAAGGCGUAGUCGAUGGGAAACAGGUUAAUAUUCCUGUACUUGGUGUUACUGCGAAGGGGGGACGGAGAAGGCUAUGUUGGCCGGGCGACGGUUGUCCCGGUUUAAGCGUGUAGGCUGGUUUUCCAGGCAAAUCCGGAAAAUCAAGGCUGAGGCGUGAUGACGAGGCACUACGGUGCUGAAGCAACAAAUGCCCUGCUUCCAGGAAAAGCCUCUAAGCAUCAGGUAACAUCAAAUCGUACCCCAAACCGACACAGGUGGUCAGGUAGAGAAUACCAAGGCGCUUGAGAGAACUCGGGUGAAGGAACUAGGCAAAAUGGUGCCGUAACUUCGGGAGAAGGCACGCUGAUAUGUAGGUGAAGUCCCUCGCGGAUGGAGCUGAAAUCAGUCGAAGAUACCAGCUGGCUGCAACUGUUUAUUAAAAACACAGCACUGUGCAAACACGAAAGUGGACGUAUACGGUGUGACGCCUGCCCGGUGCCGGAAGGUUAAUUGAUGGGGUCAGCGCAAGCGAAGCUCUUGAUCGAAGCCCCGGUAAACGGCGGCCGUAACUAUAACGGUCCUAAGGUAGCGAAAUUCCUUGUCGGGUAAGUUCCGACCUGCACGAAUGGCGUAAUGAUGGCCAGGCUGUCUCCACCCGAGACUCAGUGAAAUUGAACUCGCUGUGAAGAUGCAGUGUACCCGCGGCAAGACGGAAAGACCCCGUGAACCUUUACUAUAGCUUGACACUGAACAUUGAGCCUUGAUGUGUAGGAUAGGUGGGAGGCUUUGAAGUGUGGACGCCAGUCUGCAUGGAGCCGACCUUGAAAUACCACCCUUUAAUGUUUGAUGUUCUAACGUUGACCCGUGAUCCGGGUUGCGGACAGUGUCUGGUGGGUAGUUUGACUGGGGCGGUCUCCUCCUAAAGAGUAACGGAGGAGCACGAAGGUUGGCUAAUCCUGGUCGGACAUCAGGAGGUUAGUGCAAUGGCAUAAGCCAGCUUGACUGCGAGCGUGACGGCGCGAGCAGGUGCGAAAGCAGGUCAUAGUGAUCCGGUGGUUCUGAAUGGAAGGGCCAUCGCUCAACGGAUAAAAGGUACUCCGGGGAUAACAGGCUGAUACCGCCCAAGAGUUCAUAUCGACGGCGGUGUUUGGCACCUCGAUGUCGGCUCAUCACAUCCUGGGGCUGAAGUAGGUCCCAAGGGUAUGGCUGUUCGCCAUUUAAAGUGGUACGCGAGCUGGGUUUAGAACGUCGUGAGACAGUUCGGUCCCUAUCUGCCGUGGGCGCUGGAGAACUGAGGGGGGCUGCUCCUAGUACGAGAGGACCGGAGUGGACGCAUCACUGGUGUUCGGGUUGUCAUGCCAAUGGCACUGCCCGGUAGCUAAAUGCGGAAGAGAUAAGUGCUGAAAGCAUCUAAGCACGAAACUUGCCCCGAGAUGAGUUCUCCCUGACUCCUUGAGAGUCCUGAAGGAACGUUGAAGACGACGACGUUGAUAGGCCGGGUGUGUAAGCGCAGCGAUGCGUUGAGCUAACCGGUACUAAUGAACCGUGAGGCUUAACCUU
rnacentral:rRNA from 1 species